CUAAGCAACGAAAGAAGCUCUGAAGCGCCCACGCGAUUUGAAGAGGAGAAAAGCGGCGCGGUCACGUUUUCCGCGUGGUUUCAGACGCGACAUGUAAAGUAAAUGUAAAGCAACUGUGCGCGUAUGUGUUGGCCAUUUCGGUGGUUGCUCGAGCCGAGCCCCGGAGGACCCAGGGGAUCAGGGCAUAUCUGCGUGUUUAUUGUAGCACUUCCACUCAUAAAACAACAAGUGCGGGGCUGUUUACACUUGGUAUUAAGAUGUGUUUUCAUCGAUCGGAUCACAGGUGGACGAGAGAGACACAUGACGUUUACACCUGGUAUUUAAAUCCGUCUCUUUUGUCCACUUUCGACCGCUUCUGUGCUGAAUAAUAUGAGGGGGUGGUCUGUGAGACGGUGGGCGAGUCUCUCUGCUGUCAUUCAAACCCGAGCGGGAGUAAUUAUGAGUUUAUAUGGACGCAAACUAAUAUAAUGUCGGAGUGCACUGCUUGUUUAGCAAGUAAACAUGCUGCACAGUGUUUUGUACAUGAGUAUGUAAGAGCUUUCUUUGAAUUUUCAGCGCAAUUGAUGAAAUAGGAUCGCGCAACUUUCAGACGCUUUCAAAACGAAACUACGGAGAUCAGCCGCUUAGUUUUAUCAAUGAAAGGCUAAAAAUAGCGCUGUUCACCGAAUGUUCACGCCAGAAGUCAAAAAAAAGACGUGAAACUUGUGUUUAAUACCUCAGAUUAGAUAAAUGGGCGGAGAGAAGGCGGUCGCGUGUGGCUGUUCGAACGCAUUCAACCACAUGUGCGUUCCGCAGCUCCAAAGCGAUCCGAUCGAAAGUGGUUUCGACCACCUCUGGAUGUGGUUGAAAGUGGUCGAAAGUGGACGAGCUCAAAACGUUUUGAACACCGUUUACACCUGGCAUUAACGUCGUCCACUUGUGAUCCGAUCGACGAAAACACAUGUUAAUGCCAAGUGUAAACAGUCUCUGAGAAACCUUUUUGGGGUUAUAAUGUUUCCACCUGCGCUGAAAACGCGUUCUGAUGGUGUACUGGUAGCGCAGAUUGAUACUUUUUCGCAACUAUAAUUGAGAGAGAACGGCCGUUUCUCAACCGAAGGCUUCAGUCUCCGGAGGUCGCAUAUGCAGGCUGUAUGUCAUCAAGCCUGGUUUAUUAUUUUCAUUGCAAGUCAUAAGCAUAUUACAACAAUGUAUGAUCAACAAAGAAUAAUAGUCAAGCUUUCAAAAAUGAUAUUGCUAUGAAAAAUUACUGUACAUUUGAAUCUAUUUUUCUUUGUCUUUUAGGUGUUGGCAACAGACGUUGAAAAAAGACUACAGUUUCCUGACUUAAUUGUCUAAGGUGAAUCAGCGUUUGGAUGCUGAGCAUCGGGUGGUUGUGCCUCCACAUCCCAACUUCGUGGCUGGAAUGGCAGCUUUGUUUUCUAUCUACUACAACUUCAAUCUGGUGUACCAGGAGGAGCAAGUGCACACUGGAGAUCAUUCAAAGAUGCUUCAUUGGACUGAACCCAUCCAGUGGGACCAAGACAGCAAAGGUGGUUAGCCAAAAAUAGAGGGAAGGUACCGGAGAAAAAGAAGAACCGCAUUAACCCUCACGUCUCCUCUCUACUUAAGCGGCUGAUAGAUUUUGAAUGGCUUCAAUUGUAAGUCUCAAGCGACUUCCUCAUAAUAUGAAUGGACAAUGUUCUAAAUGUGUUCAGAAUUUCACUGAAUGUUAAGAAAAUGAAUAGAAUAUGCUGUUAAGAAAAAGACCUUCUGAAAUUGCACAGUAUUGUAACACUGUAUUUCGUUUUA